rnacentral:rRNA from 1 species
AGUGAACGCUGGCGGCGUGCUUAACACAUGCAAGUCGAGCGAAUUUCAGCAGCGUAUCGCUGAAGUUAGCGGCAGACGGGUGAGUAAUACUUGGGCAAUCUGCCCUCGAAAGGGAAACAACCUGCCGAAAGGCGGGCUAAUAUCCCAUAAGACCACAGAGUGACAUCAUUCAGGGGUCAAAGCUCCGCAAGGGGCGUUUGAGGAGGAGCCCGAGUCCUAUCAUGGUAGUUGGUGAGGUAACGGCUCACCAAGCCUUUGACGGGUAGCCGGCCUGAAA